CCUCGAGGAAGAGAAAGUAAACAACGAUUCCGCUAGUAGUGGCGAGCGAACGCGGAAGAGCCCAAACCUUUUAAGUUUUUGCCUGGUAAUUUAUAUUGCCGGACAAAUAAGUUGGUAGACGAAUAUUUAAAAGGGGUUGUGACACUACAAACAACCUUUUGCGGAUGCUGGAUUUAUCCAGGGUCUGCAUAAGGGAGCAGGAGCUACCAUCAUCCUGCCUAAGGUCAGAAAUUUGCGAAGCGAGCAGAAGGAAUUGGAAAGUUCCGCCAGAGACGGUGAUAGCCCGGUAUGCCAAGAGUCGCAAACCUUAGAUUUGUAGCAGCAUAUAUGAGACAAGCCAUGCGAGCUUGUACGCCAACAGUACAGCGACCGUUGGUUUGUCUCAUAUAUGCUAUUGUCGAGUAAGUCGGGACACGAGAAACCCUGACCGAAUCUGGCACGACCACGUGCUAAGGCUAAAUAUAUCUUGCGAUCGAUAGAGAACUAGUACCGUGAGGGAAAGGUUAAAAGAACCCCGGAAGGGGAGUGAAAUAGAACCUGAAAUUGUGUGCGUACAAGGACUCGGAGCAGAUUUAUUCUGUGACGGGGUGCUUUUUGUAGAACGAUCCAGCGAGUUACUUGCAUAUGCAAGCCUAAGCCAUUUGGCGGAGGCGCAGUGAAAGCGAGCCUGAAUAGGGCGACAAGUAUGUGCGAGUAGACCCGAAACCGGGUGACCUAACCAUGAGCAGGCUGAAGCGCAGGUAAAACUGCGUGGAGGGCCGAACCGUAGCGAGUUGCAACACGCCCGGAUGACUUGUGGUUAGCGGUGAAAUGCCAAUCGAACUCGGAGAUAGCUGGUUCUCCUCGAAAUAGCUUUAGGGCUAGCGUUGUACGGUAGCCGUCUGGGGUAGAGCUCUGAUUCGGACUGGGGGUCGCAAGAUUACCCACCCUUGUCAAACUACGAAUACGGACGGUGGAACUACAGCAGUUAGAACGUCGGGGCUAAGCUCGGCGCUCAAAAGGGAAACAGCCCAGACCAUCAUCUAAGGUCCCUAAGUCUAUGCUAAGUGGGAAACGAGGUGAGAUUUCUUAAACAAUGAGGAUGUUGGCUUAGAAGCAGCCAUUCAUUUAAAGAGUGCGUAACAGCUCACUCAUCAAGAGAUCUUGCGCGGAAAAUGUAACGGGGCUCAAGCAUAGCACCGAAGAUAUGGAUGUGGUACAUAGGACUAAACUUGUGAUUCUUAUCUGCAUGGGUAAGAGGUAAUCGCGAGUUCUGUCCUAUGUACUGCGUGGUAGAGGAGCGUUCAUAUUGCGUUGAAGUUGGACUGUGAGGUCUGGUGGAGCGGUAUGAAGUGAGAAUGCUGGAAUGAGUAACCAUAAGGCAGGUGAGAAUCCUGCCCACCGAAAGAGCAAGGUUUCCUGGGCCACGGUAAUCGCCCCAGGGUUAGUCGGUCCUAAGCCGAGGCGCGUAGCGUAGGCGAUGGACAACGGGUUAAUAUUCCCGUACUAGUCAUGCAUUGUUAUGAGUGCGCGGCAUGUUAGUCGGAGCGGAUUCAUGGUUAUAUCCGUCUAAGUAGCGUAACAACUACGAAUGAGAGGUCAUUAUUGACUGAUUCCGAUGAGAGUGCUGACCAGAAAAGCUUCAUAACGCGUGUGUAUGGCUACCCGUACCGCAAACCGACACAGGUGCUCAGGUCGAGUAGACCAAGGUGUACGAGUGAUUCUUCGUUAAGGAACUCGGCAAUUUAGCGACCGUAACUUAGGGAUAAGGUCUCCCCACACCUUUUUGGUAAUAAGACCCCGUAGACAAGUGGCAUAUACUUGUUGAAACCGACUACUAGAUAGUUGGCUCGGGGUUGUCUGAUUGCUAGAAAGGUGUGGGGCGCAGCUAAAGAGCCCACGCAACUGUUUACCAAAAACAUAGGUCUCUGCUAACACGAAAGUGCGAACUGAAGCCCCAGUGAACGGCGGCGGUAACUAUAACCGUCCUAAGGUAGCGAAAUUCCUUGUCUGGUAAGUUCAGACCCGCACGAAUGGAGUAAUGAUGUGGGCACUGUCUCAACGAAGAGCUCGGUGAAAGUGCAUUGACGGUAAAGAUGCCGUCUGUCCGCAGCAGGACGAAAAGACCCCGUGGAGCUUUACUACAGUUUGACAUUGGGCAUAGGUGCAACAUGUGUAGCAUAGGUGGGAGACUUUGAAGCCUAGGCGCUAGCCUAGGUGGAGUCACCGGUGAAAUACCACCCUUGUUGUAUUUGUGUUCUUACGGGAGCCACAAAGGUUAAUUGAAAUUCCUAACGUUUUCUUGCCGGUUUAUCCUCUUGUACGAGGAUGAUUGACCGCAAGAAAACUACAGGUUGAAGAUUCGAUUGCCCUUUCUGGCUUCUGGACAGUGUCUGAUGGGUAGUUUAACUGGGGCGGUUGCCUCCUAAAGAGUAGCGGAGGCGUUCAAAGGUUGGCUAAGUUCGGAUGGAAAUCGAACCGGUAGUGCAAGCGCACAAGCCAGCUUGACUGUGAGGCCUACAAGCCAAGCAGACACGAAAGUGGGAGCUAGUGACCCGUCGUAUUUAACUUCGGUUAUAUGAAAGUGGGAUCGACGACGCAAACGGAUAAAAGUUACCCCGGGGAUAACAGGCUUAUGGGUUCAGAACGUCGUGAGACAGUUCGGUUUAUAUCCGCUGUGGACGCAAGGAAAUUUGAGAGGAUCUACCCCUAGUACGAGAGGACCGGGGCGGACGUACCGCUGGUGUACCAGUUGUUCUACCAAGAGCAUUGCUGGGUAGCUAAGUACGGAAUAGAUAAGCGCUGAAAGCAUAUUAAGCGCGAAACUAGCCUCAAGAUUAGAUUUCCCUAUGAGGGACCUGAAAGACGAUCAGGUUGAUAGGCGCUAGGUGCACGCAUAGUGAUGUGUUUAGCCGAAGCGUACUAAUCUCCCCAUUGACUUUUUACG
rnacentral:rRNA from 1 species